CCUACGGGGGGCAGCAGUGGGGAAUAUUGGGCAAUGGAGGCAACUCUGACCCAGCAACGCCGCGUGAAUGAUGAAGGUCUUCGGAUUGUAAAGUUCUUUUCUAAGGGAAGAAGAAAGUGACGGUACCUUAGGAAUAAGCCUCGGCUAACUACGUGCCAGCAGCCGCGGUAAUACGGGGGGUGCAAGCGUUGUCCGGAAUCAUUGGGCGUAAAGCGUUCGUAGGCGGCAAGGUAAGUCUGAUGUUAAAGCCCGGGGCUCAACUCCGGUUCGGCAUUGGAUACUAUCUAGCUAGAAUGUGGUAGAGGUAAAGGGAAUUCCUGGUGUAGCGGUGAAAUGCGUAGAUAUCAGGAGGAACAUCGGUGGCGAAAGCGCUUUACUGGACCAUUAUUGACGCUGAGGAACGAAAGCCAGGGGAGCAAAUGGGAUUAGAUACCCCUGUAGUC
rnacentral:rRNA from 1 species